GAUGAACGCUAGCGGCAGGCCUAACACAUGCAAGUCGAGGGAGGAGCUUUCGGGCUUCGACCGGCGUACGGGUGCGUAACGCGUAUACAAUCUGCCUUUCACAUAGGGAUAGCCCGAAGAAAUUUGGAUUAAUACCUAAUGGUAUAUAGAGGUGGCAUCACCUUUAUAUUAAAGCUGAGGCGGUGAAAGAUGAGUAUGCGUUCUAUUAGCUAGUUGGAGAGGUAACGGCUCCCCAAGGCGACGAUAGAUAGGGGUUCUGAGAGGGAUACCCCCCACACUGGUACUGAGAUACGGACCAGACUCCUACGGGAGGCAGCAGUGAGGAAUAUUGGACAAUGGUCGGAAGACUGAUCCAGCCAUGCCGCGUGCAGGAAGACGGCCUUAUGGGUUGCAAACUGCUUUUGCAGGGGAAGAAUAAGGACUACGCGUAGUUUGAUGACGGUACUCUGCGAAUAAGCAUCGGCUAACUCCGUG
rnacentral:rRNA from 1 species